rnacentral:rRNA from 1 species
CAGCAGCCGCGGGAAUACGUAGGUCCCGAGCGUUGUCCGGAUUUAUUGGGCGUAAAGCGAGCGCAGGCGGUUAGAUAAGUCUGAAGUUAAAGGCUGUGGCUUAACCAUAGUACGCUUUGGAAACUGUUUAACUUGAGUGCAAGAGGGGAGAGUGGAAUUCCUUGUGUAGCGGUGAAAUGCGUAGAUAUAUGGAGGAACACCGGUGGCGAAAGCGGCUCUCUGGCUUGUAACUGACGCUGAGGCUCGAAAGCGUGGGGCGCAAACAGGAUUAGAUACCCCAGUAGUCCCUGUCUCUUAUACC